CAAGUCGAGCGAACAGACGAGGAGCUUGCUCCUCUGACGUUAGCGGCGGACGGGUGAGUAACACGUGGAUAACCUACCUAUAAGACUGGGAUAACUUCGGGAAACCGGAGCUAAUACCGGAUAAUAUAUUGAACCGCAUGGUUCAAUAGUGAAAGACGGUUCUGCUGUCACUUAUAGAUGGAUCCGCGCCGCAUUAGCUAGUUGGUAAGGUAACGGCUUACCAAGGCAACGAUGCGUAGCCGACCCGAGAGGGUGAUCGGCCACACUGGAACUGAGACACGGUCCAGACUCCUACGGGAGGCAGCAGUAGGGAAUCUUCCGCAAUGGGCGAAAGCCUGACGGAGCAACGCCGCGUGAGUGAUGAAGGUCUUCGGAUCGUAAAACUCUGUUAUUAGGGAAGAACAAAUGUGUAAGUAACUAUGCACGUCUUGACGGUACCUAAUCAGAAAGCCACGGCUAACUACGUGCCAGCAGCCGCGGUAAUACGUAGGUGGCAAGCGUUAUCCGGAAUUAUUGGGCGUAAAGCGCGCGUAGGCGGUUUUUUAAGUCUGAUGUGAAAGCCCACGGCUCAACCGUGGAGGGUCAUUGGAAACUGGAAAACUUGAGUGCAGAAGAGGAAAGUGGAAUUCCAUGUGUAGCGGUGAAAUGCGCAGAGAUAUGGAGGAACACCAGUGGCGAAGGCGACUUUCUGGUCUGUAACUGACGCUGAUGUGCGAAAGCGUGGGGAUCAAACAGGAU
rnacentral:rRNA from 1 species